UCGUUGCUGCGCGCGGGCUUUCUUCAGUUGUGGUGAGCGGGGCCUACUCUUCGUUGCGGUGCGCGGGCUUCUCACUGCGGUGGCUUCUCGUUGCGGAGCACGGGCUCUAGGCGCGCGGGCUUCAGUAGUUGUGGCACAUGGCCUCAGUAGCUGUGGCUCGCAGGCUCAGUAGUUGUGGUGCACGGGCUUAGUUGCUCCGCAGCAUGUGGGAUCUUCCCGGACCAGGGCUCGAACCCGUGUCUCCUGCAUUGGCAGGCGGAUUCUUAACCACCACGCCACCAGGGAAGUCCCUGGUACUCACUUUUAUUGGUGAGUCAGUGGGUAAAGAAGGAGGUCCAGCAGAAGGGGAUGGAGAGGAAAUCUGCGCCAGCCAGAUCGCCCUCAUUUAUGGAAUGGGGGACCUGAGUGGGGCAGGCAUGGUGCCCUCUGCUGCCGCCUGGUGGCUGAAGGGAGCAGUGCCGCCUCCCCAGCCCUGCCUCCCACCUCCUGAGCCCCCUCCCCCCUGCCGUUGCCGGAUAGAUGGACAGACUGAGCGUUUCCCCCUCCGCGCGCAAGCUGUCCUCUCCGGAAAUGAAAGCUUCCUACACCCCCUCCCCAUGGCCCCGGCGGGUGUGCCCGAGAGAGUCAGCUGCCUUUGGGGCAGCCCAGCUGCCAGGGGCGCGGGGUGAGGGCCAGCAGGCUUCUCGGCCACCGGCCGCCUGCCCCGAGUGCUCCGUGCCGAGCAGCCGGAGCACCACACCGUCUGCUGCAGGCAGUCGGGCAGCUCUGCGCGUGGGUGGCGCACAGGCUCUCUCCAGCUGGCUGGGCCCUGGGCCUCACGUCUCUGUCUCUGCAGACUGUUCGCAGGCCCCCCCGUGAUUCACCUGCUCUCUCAGCGACCCUGAUCCCCGGCUUUAAACUCACAGCCUCUCUGCUCUGGCAUGGGGACUGCUGAAGGCCUGUGUCUGUAACAUCCCUCCCUCUGGCUGCUUUCCUGUCCUGGCACCCAGUACAUCCUCUGUGACCCGUGCGUCCAAAAGCAUCAGGAUGGAGCGCCAUGAGAGAGGAAUGGCCUGGGCUCCCGCUCCAGCUCACUUCGCAAACCACCCUCCAGAUCCAGGCCACCUUGCGGCAGACCCUUAACUUCUGGUCGGGGUCUCAUGCUGCUCUGCCCCCCUGGGGACAGAAACAUCAGCUGUGCCCUCCCGCUCUGUCCCCGUGCUGCCCAGGGAUGCAGGCUCUUGGGCCUCAGGCCUUGUAGCCAGCCUCCAAGACGGCCCAGUGACCCUCACGUCCCAGCACCCACGCGCGGUCCACAGGGAUAUGGAUGGACUGAGGCGGGUGACUUCUGCAAUGGGUCUAGAAGCCACUGAAGCAUCCACCUUGAUCUCUCCAAUCACUCACCCUGGGAAAAGCCAGUUGCCAUGCUGUGUGGACACUGAAGCCGUCCAAUAGAGAGGCCCCCACGGAGCCACCCCCAAGAGUCCACCAGUGAGUGAGCCACGUGGAAGUGGAUCCCGCAGCCCCAGUGAGCCCGCGGAUGACUAGGGGCCUGGCCGACAUCGGCUGCGACCUCAUGAGGGGGCCCUGAACCGGAAACGCCCUGCUAGGUGGGUCCUGAAUUUCUGACCCAAGUGAGAGAGAGUGAACUGUAUUGUUGUUUUAGCCACUGAGUUUUGGAGUAACUUGUUAGGCAGCAUCGAUAGCUGAUACAGCCCCCCGGCUUCCCCGGCUACAUGAAGCACCCUCUUUGAGGGUCUGGGGAGGGGCGGCCUUGCUGCUGUUCUUCCUGCCUGAGCCCUUUGCCUUCCUCUACAACCUCACCACUCCUGACCCACACAGAGCCCUCGCUGACCCUGGCCUUGCCCUGUUCCGUCUGCUCUGGGGCAGGUGAGGGCCUGCUGCCCUCAGCCUCACGUGCCCACUCCCCGACGACCCAGCAUGCCUGGCUUCCCUUCAGGGUUAGCUGCUCAGGGAAGUGACGAGGGCUGAUUGCACCCGACAGGGGUGAAAAGCUGGUCAACCACCCAUCAGGAAGACGGCGCGGCUGAGGCCGGCUGGUGCCCGGGCCCUGGGGCCCUGCACGCUCGUACUUUCUGCUUCCAGUCGGGCCACCAGCCAGCACGGCCAGGUCACUCGCUCUUGUGCUCUGAAGGGCCCUACUGUCAUGCAAGGGGUCCAGGAGGUGAGCACAGAAUUGCCAGGUGAUGCCACAGAGAGAGAGAGAGGGGAGCCCUCGAUGGCAGGGGUCCCUCCGCAGGGUCAGUGCCCAGCCCCACUGCUGUAGCAAGAAUCCAGCCGAACUCCGGAUGCAGCCGCAUUCUGAGGCUUUGCUGCCCACACCGUCUCACUGAAAGGGCCUGGCCCUGAGGCCAGAACUCCCAUGAUCCACGGUCACCAGCAGUGGACAAGCCCCUCCCAGCGAGACUUAGACUCCCAGCUGCAGGAGGAAGUGCAGGUGGCCGGUCCAGCCUCAGCAGUGCAUUUGGAUCUGGGUCUGUCAUCCUGGGGAGGGUCCAGGAGGAGGGUGGGGACAGGGACAGAGGGUGGCCAGAGCAGGCCAGUGGGACAGAGGAGGAAGGGCCCCUCACCAGCUGCCGGCUUUUCCUCUGAAUUAAUUCUAAUGCUUUUCCCCCUCUUGAUUCUGUAGGGUUUUUUACAUAGAUAAUCAGACUGUCAGGAAAUACUGAUAUUUUGUUUCUCCGAUACUCGCUGCUUUCAUUUUUUUUCUUGUCUUCCUUCACUUGGUAACUAGAAGUGGUGGUAGCAGGCGUCCUUGCCUCUUUCCCAGUUUGAAAGGAAUUCUAACGUUUCACCACUAAGUAGGAUCAUUGUUGUAGAUUUUUGAUAGAUACGAUUUAUUAGGCUAUGAAGUUUUCUUCUCUUCCAAGGUUGCUGUU